UAGCCUAGUGGUUAAGGCUAUGGAUUGCCAAUCCGGAGACAGCGGGUUCGAUUCUCGU
rnacentral:tRNA from 1 species